UGGGGUCGUAGCUCAGCUGGGAGAGCGUUGCCUCGGCAUGGCAAAGGUCGCGGGUUCGAAUCCCGCCGACUCCAUCUC
rnacentral:tRNA from 1 species